GAGAGUAUAACUCAGUGUUAGAGUGCAUGCUUAGUAUGCAUGAGAUCCUAGGUUCAGUCCCCAGUACCUCCA
rfam:Camelus ferus unplaced genomic scaffold scaffold2047, whole genome shotgun sequence.